AGUGUACGGGACGACAGUGCCUAGCAGAGGAGCUUCACUGCCGGUGAGGGAUUACCUCAGGUUAGGCUUUAAUGUUUCGUUGCCGUCUAGAGACGUUCUAGCAAUGUGACAUCUGUGUACCAUAUCUGGAAGUCUCCCUGUACGUCAAGAGCCCCUUAGGGGAGUCUCCCAUUGCCGCCGUGGGAACCUGUGUUUACAUUACGAGGAGAGAGAAUAGCUGUACUCUGAACUCAAACGCUCAAAACAUGCAGUGAGCGAAUGCUAGCAUAAUUUUCUUGCCUCUACCAGAAGGAAGGCUGGGUAUUUAGGAAACAGAACGCGUUGGGCACAACAUUCUGAGAAAAUGGACACAGAAAAUUAGGUUAUCCUAAUAGAAAAGCAGUUGCAUCUCCCAAAGUCAAGAGAUUCUGUAGGACUUCCGAUGUAUCUCCUGCUGUGUAAAAUAUUCAGGUUCCUGAAGUGGGGGACAUUUUUAGGGCAACUGUAAUUUCUUCAUUUUUUCCAUCCCACAAGUGCUGGAGGCAGCAGUGAUCUGAGCUCUAGAAAGUGACUGUCCGUCACCAUCGAAACUUCCUUCUACUACUUAAAGUCCUCACAUUGGGCUGACCUGGGAAACAUGAAGAUAAAAAGAGUGGGUAAACAUGCCUGCUUGAUGAGCCAGAAAAAAAGGCAGAAACCUGUGGUCUGGGUAGAACAGAUCCUGCUCAGAAUGGACCUUACAGUCUAAUGAGGAAAAAACGUGUGCAGACAUAUAUAAGAUAAGUGAGAGAGUCGGAGAAGAACAUCAGAAGUGAUAUUUGAGCAUAGUAAGGUCAAAGAAGUUUCAAAGUUUAGUCAUUUGUCCAUUCAGUAACUAUUUAUAGAGCAUCUUCUGUGUGCUAGGCACUAUAUAAGAAAUUAAGGGGCUGGGUGUGGUGGCUCAUGCCUGUAAUCCCAGCACUUCGGGAGGCUGAGGCAGGUGAAUCACCUGAGGUCAGGAGUUCGAGACCAGCCUGGCCAACAUGGUGAAACCCCGUCUCUACUAAAAAUACAAACAUUAGCCAAGUGUAGUGGCGCAUGCCUGUAAUCCCAGCUACCCUGGAGGCUUAAGCAGAAGAACCGCUGGAACCCAGGAGAAGAAGGCUACCAUGAGCCGAGAUUGCACCAUUGCACUCCAGCCUGGGCGACAGUGAGACUCUGUCUCAAAAAAAAAAAAAAGAAAGAAAGAAAGAAAUAAAAAAAAAAGAAAUUAAGGAUACACAGAAGAAAAGGCAUGGUCUGUGCCCUGAAGGAGCUUACAGUUAAGCAGAGAAGUUGCACGAUUUGGAAGUAGUAAGGUAAAUUGAGUCAGAUUUUGAAAGGCAAUGUAGAGCUGUUAGAAGUUUAUUCGCACAGGUAGCCAGGCACAGUGGCUCAUGCCUGUAAUCCCAGCACUUUGGGAAGCCAAGGUGGCAGAUCACUGGAGGUCAGGAGUUCAAGACCAGCCUGGCCAACACAGUGAAACCCCAUCUCUACUACAAAUACAAAAAUUAGCCAGAUAUGGUGGCAUAUGCUUGUAAUCCCAGCUACUCGGGAGGCUGAGGCAGGAGAAUCGCUUGAAUCCGGGAGGCAGAGGUUGCAGUGAGCCGAGAUCGUGCCACUGCAGUCUAGGCUGGGCAAACAGAGCCAGACUCUGUCUCAAAAAAGAAGUUUAUUCAGACAGGAAAGAAGGCGAGAAGGGGCAGAUAUGUGAAAUACAUCCUCCUAAACCAAGUCAGAGCAACUGGAGAGGGAGGUGGAGCAGUUAGCAAUCGGAAGCAUUCAAGUUUCAUUCAGGGUAUAAACCAGGAAAAGUUGUUCUGGCCCCUCAUCUGGUUUCAUGAAGGACAAUAUCUAGCAUGAGAGUGACAGGGGUUAGAAUAAUGGACAUUUUGGGGACUGGGUCCUAGCAGAAAUGAUGGAAUAAUGGAACAGGAGUUUGGAUGAAUGGGCAUAUUAUGGGAUUAAAGAAGAUUUGAAUACAAGCUUUCCUAAUAAAUGAAAGGGGAGGUGAAACUAGAGCAUGCUGAUGGCUGCACAGCAUUGUGAAUGCACUAAAUGCACUAACUGUCCACUUUAAAAUGUUUAGUAAUAUGUCGAUUUUACCUAAAUAAAAAAAAGGAAGCAACA
rnacentral:lncRNA from 1 species